ACACAAACGCGCAACGGCCAUAAAACUCAAUUUGUACCAGUUGAUUUCACCGAAUGUAUGUGAAGAAAAAAAAUAAAAAAAUGUGAAAAUGUCGUCGAUUUUUCGAAAAUUCGCUUUUCACAGCUGACGCGCUUGUCACGCGCCCCGAGGGACGGUACUCGCGAAGUUGCGGACUAGGAGUGCGCCGACUACCCAAUCGCCGUCUCCCCCAGUCCCCCCUCUCCGUGCAGUAAACAACCUAACGUGACAAUAAAUAACGGCGAAAUUAAUAUUGGGCCGCUGCCGUAUGGACCGCGCG